CAGUAGCCACGGGAAUACGGAGGGUGCAAGCGUUAAUCGGAAUUACUGGGCGUAAAGCGCACGCAGGCGGUCUGUCAAGUCAGAUGUGAAAUCCCCGGGCUUAACCUGGGAACUGCAUUUGAAACUGGCAGGCUAGAGUCUUGUAGAGGGGGGUAGAAUUCCAGGUGUAGCGGUGAAAUGCGUAGAGAUCUGGAGGAAUACCGGUGGCGAAGGCGGCCCCCUGGACAAAGACUGACGCUCAGGUGCGAAAGCGUGGGGAGCAAACAGGAUUAGAUACCCGGAUAGUCCCUGUCUCUUAUAA
rnacentral:rRNA from 1 species